GAACGAACGCUGGCGGCGCGCCUAAUACAUGCAAGUCGAGCGAGAAGACGUAGCAAUACGUUUGUAAAGCGGCGAACGGGUGAGGAAUACAUGGGUAACCUACCCUCGAGUGGGGAAUAACUAGCCGAAAGGUUAGCUAAUACCGCGUACGCUCCUUGGACUUCGGUUCAGGGAGGAAAGCGAUACCGUGGGUAUCGCGCUCUUGGAUGGGCUCAUGUCCUAUCAGCUUGUUGGUGAGGUAACGGCUCACCAAGGCUUCGACGGGUAGCUGGUCUGAGAGGACGAUCAGCCACACUGGCACUGCGACACGGGCCAGACUCCUACGGGAGGCAGCAGUAAGG
rnacentral:rRNA from 1 species